rnacentral:lncRNA from 1 species
GGAAAAGUUAUCAAACAGGACACGUGUCAACACCUAGCAGAAACGACUUAUUUCAUCUGGAAUAUUAUAUUCAAAAUUAGGCCUUGGAAAAUUCUAUAAAUAGAAGCCAAUUUCAUUCAUUUCAUGGGACCAAUUCAUAUUACACCUUGAAGCUCUGAAGCUCUAAAACUCCGAAGCUCUCAAGCAUCCAGGUUCCCGAAGAAUCAAGAAAGCCUUCUUCGUUCUUCGUUCAUCGUUCUUCCAAGAUCAAGCCUCGACGGCC